GAUUGAACGCUGGCGGCAUGCCUUACACAUGCAAGUCGAACGGCAGCACGGGAGCAAUCCUGGUGGCGAGUGGCGAACGGGUGAGUAAUACAUCGGAACGUGCCCAGUAGUGGGGGAUAACCCGGCGAAAGCCGGACUAAUACCGCAUACGACCUAUGGGUGAAAGCGGGGGAUCGCAAGACCUCGCGCUAUCGGAGCGGCCGAUGUCAGAUUAGCUUGUUGGCGGGGUAAAAGCCCACCAAGGCGACGAUCUGUAGCUGGUCUGAGAGGACGACCAGCCACACUGGGACUGAGACACGGCCCAGACUCCUACGGGAGGCAGCAGUGGGGAAUUUUGGACAAUGGGCGCAAGCCUGAUCCAGCCAUGCCGCGUGCGGGAAGAAGGCCUGGU
rnacentral:rRNA from 1 species